UUUCCGUAGGUGAACCUGCGGAAGGAUCAUUAAUGAGUUGUGAUGGGGUUGAUGCUGGCAGCCAAUUUUUUGGGUGCAUGUGCUCGCCCUGACAAUCAUCUUCCAAACACCUGUGCACAUUUUUGAGGGAGUUUCGAGUCGAUUGCUGCCUUUUGGCGAUUUUCUUGAAUUCCCUNAAAUCAUUAUACGCUGUUAGCAAAUGUUGAACGUGCUUUGUGCCGCAAGGCCAUUAAUAUAAUACAACUUUUAACAACGGAUCUCUUGGCUCUCGCAUCGAUGAAGAACGCAGCGAAAUGCGAUAAGUAAUGUGAAUUGCAGAAUUCAGUGAAUCAUCGAAUCUUUGAACGCACCUUGCGCUCCCUGGUAUUCCGGGGAGCACGCCUGUUCGAGUGUCGUGAAAUUUCUCAAAGCUUGGAUGGCCUUUUUUUGUCUGUCCUUAGCCUUGGUUGUUGGGCUUUGCCGUGUCCUGUAUUGGGACGGCUGGCCUUAAAAACAUUAGCUGAUCCUUGUGCGGCACUGGUUCUACUCAGCGUGAUAAUAGUCUGAUCGCUGAGGACGUCUUUUGGGAUGGCCAGUGCUCAUUUGGGUUGCUUAUAGACCUGGUCUUGCAGAUUCUUCAAUCUGUGGUUCCACUUUUCAGCUUUGACCUCGAAUCAGGUGGGACUACCCGCUGAACUUAAGCAUAUCAAUAAGCGGAGGAAAAGAAACUAACAAGGAUUCCCCUAGUAACGGCGAGUGAAGCGGGAAGAGCUCAAAUUUAAAAUCUGGCAAUCUUUGGUU
rnacentral:rRNA from 1 species